UGUUUUAGUCAUAUUUUAAGAGUUGGAGGCGCAAUGGCCCAGUAGCUAGGGCAGUAGGCUCGCGGUCAUAAGAUUACGAUUUCAAUUCCCAGGACGGGCGUUGCGAGUGUUUAUUGAGCGAAAGCACUUAAAGCUCUACGAGUGGUUGCGAACCCUGCUAUCCUCUUUCACCACAAAUGUCUCUCUCUCUUUCUUUCUGUUUCUUUUGUACCUGUAUUUCAAAGGGCUAGUCUUGUCACACGCUGUGUCACGCUGAAACUCCCCGGGAACUACGUUAUGGGUACACGUAU